GCGGCUGUUGCUCUUCUCAGUUGUGUAGGUGGGCAGGAGAGUGAAAGUAUAUGCGUGAUGUUACUCAGGUGCUGCUCAAACACUAAUACUCUUCUAUAGCUUCUCUUUCUGCAUAAAAUGCGUCUGCUGCUCGGCUGAAUACACAAGCUUUCUGCCACACCUGUUGAAUGUGUUCCUUUCAACUGGAGAAAGUUCUGAAUAUGUGUUUAUAAUCAGAGGGACUACCUGAUGCAGUUAAACUACAGAUAUGUCACUCCAUGACAUCCUGCUUGCUAUCGGUAUCAUUUCCACUUCAGAGGGAAGGAAACAUUUCAAAACUGGAUCAGAUCAUUUAGCAGCGCUAAAACCUGGAUUUAAUUUACCAGCUGGUUGGACGGGGGUGAAUGGGGUCCCCCUGUCAACCCCCCAGUCCCAAGCUAGAGCCCUGCAUGGAACCAAUUUCUAAGACUCGACCCAAACCCAUAGCCUGCAACCCGAACCGCGACCCGCAUAUUUACCCACUUUGAACCGCUACCCGACCAGGAGCCACAACUGCCUUAUCCGCAACCUGCCGACCACCAUCAACCGGACGUGAUGUUGCUGCAAACUGGAAGUGACAUCAUCAAACGUGGCCGAUAGCCGAGAGGGACAGAAGCCACCGUGUGAUCUAAGAAAGCUGUGCCUGAAGUCAGAUUGGAGGGGGAGACGAGUGGGGAGAGAGCUGCAGCAGGAAGAGACCCCACAUCUAUACCCCGCACCUGAAAGGCCUACCCUCCUUCUGCAGGGUACCCACUUUUUUUGCAGGCAACCCGUAGGUACCCAACCCGCUGCAGGACUCUAUCCCAAGCUUCAGACACACCUGAACAUUUUACCUUGCCCUGUGUGUUGGGAGGAUCUGGAAUGAGGGUCCUGGGUCCACAAGCCCACUGGGUUUUCUCCCAGUGUCCCACGGGCCCAGUGCAACCCUGCUCUGAUUCCUUUUUGUACAUCAAGCCUAUGGGUACAUUAAACACUAUCUAGUGUGCAAUAAUGUAGGCUUUUUAAAGUAAAAUACAGGUCACUACUCUUUAGCAUGAAGGACAAGUAAACCUUAAAAAUAAGUGAAUGUAAAACAGAUGAGGGGGCUAUUCUAAGCACUUUUGUCAUUU